GUCUGAUGCCUGGCCCCUAUCUGCUGAGUAACACCAUACAGGACUGCACAGUUUGAUGGAGGUGGACACUCAGCGUCAACAGGUCAGCUGAAGAUACUGUCAACCUUGUUCUCCACCACACCCAUAUUGGAGACCCCUAACUACCACACCCAUAUUCUGUUAAUUGACUUUGAUGACAUGGAACUGCUAAAACUCUUCAAUACUGGGCUUGAAUGCUGACCCCUCCUUAUGCCACUGGAUUCAAAGCUUCCUGUGGAAUACAGUGCAGAGGGUUAACGUCGAGACGGCGAACUUCGCAUCUGGGACAAAAUGAUGAAGAGAGAUUAUUAUUUGCACAUAUAUAUAUAUAUACACACCUUACCUUAAUCAGAAUGUAAUCACCAAAGGAUAUAUUUUCAAUGUGACUAAUCUGUAUUGCACCAUUUUCUUUUUUUUCUUUUUUUUAAAGAAUGCAUUUGGGAACAUUCUUUUUUAGACUGUGGAGAGCUACAGUUGAGUUACACUGUGAAGUACUGUGAUAAAGAUUAUAGCUGCUGAAAUAUAGAGCCCCUGAGAGAGGGACAGGAGGCCCACAUCAGAUUUCAUCCUGAAGGCUGGGAGAUAGUGCCCGGAGAAACAGCGAGGGCUGGACUGAUCCGAGCUCUGAGGAGCUCAGAUAAUCAAUGGCGGAAACUAAAAUAUAAAUGAACUUUUUAUGUCCGCUCGAAGCAUUGAAGGGAGAUACAGAGCCCGGAACGGCAACGAGCAUAUUAAGGAAACCAAAGUUAGCGCUCUUGUAUGCCUGUAAGAACAGCUAUCACUUCUCAUUCCUCUCUCAAACGCGUCCCUCUUAACCACGGCAAAGGCAAAUCCGGGGAUCCGUGGUGGGGAAGUUAUGAAAUCUUUCUGCAGGGGUGAAAAGUUAACACAAUUUCCUUAAACAUGUAGAACUUUUCUCAAAAGAUAGAUGUUUUUUUCUCUCUCUCUCUGAGCCAGCAUGGGUGUUGAGAGGAGAUAAUGUGGAAAUAAGAAAGUGCCACCGUCUCAGUGGUAGCGCUUACCCCUUCCCCAUUCGAGCGCUGUGCUGGUCAUGGCAUGUAAAACGUACCAUGUGCGGUUAGUCUUGCACAUCUGAACCCUGGCAUCUUAAAUCACUAAUCCCAUGAACUGCAGCUGCAUUUGGGCAGGACAUCUCAGACUUCUGUGUAGUCACCCCUCUUGAAGAAAACCUUUAACAUUUAAUUAUGUGCCUAGUCAAGCAAAAAAGGGUGCAUCCUGCUGUUGUGACGUACUA